GCCAGAGUGGUGGAACUGGCAGACACGCACGACUCAAAAUCGUGUGCGGGAAACCGCGUGUGGGUUCGACUCCCACCUUUGGCACCA
rnacentral:tRNA from 1 species